rnacentral:piRNA from 1 species
UGGCUUACGUCAUCACUUUCAAGAAUGUCA